GUUCCAUACUUCUGUUACAUCGGUUCUUCAGGUUUGCAUACUAAAAUCAGUAUCUACUGGCCCUUCCGGUUCUAAUGGAGGAGAUCAACGGUUCUUCUGCGAAGACUGGUACUGCAUCACCUUGUGACACCGAAGCUAACAACACUCAUAUUAUGUAAAAGCUCAAAUCUAUCUCCAACCAGAACAAAUCUUGGCCUAACAAAGAAAAACACUGAUGUAGAUUCCCCAAACUAGAACCCAACACACUACUACAGUGGUGGUUUUGGCUAGUUCGGCAAGGAUAAGAGGCUAUGUACAUACACAUGAAAUUUUGAUUGGUAAACGAGCGAAUGUAAAAUAAAUCUGUAGCAGAGAUCCGGGAAAGAAGAAAUCGGAUUUAAUUCGACACAUAGGGGGGGUCGCCCUUUAUACCCAAAUAGUAUAGUUCAGAACAUGGGGAAGAAGGGGAGAAGUGGAAGAGGAAGAUGACGAGGCGCGCGUGUCGUAGAAGACACCCGAUGGGUGAGUUCCAGGCCAUCGAGCUCUCCUCCGCAUGUGGUGAAGCUCCAUCCGACGGUUGCACGGGUGGCGCGCGUGGCCGGCGCCACGGGCAGGAGGUCAUCACCUGCAGCAAUCCCACUUCCGGAUCACGCAGGAGCACGCAUGCGCGACCAUCACCGCGCCAGACCACGGGGAGAUGAGGAGUGGACCUCGUCGGCGUAGCGUGGAGGAGCUGCUCGUCAGAGGUGGGGAUCCUGCGCUCCCCGCCUUAAUGGUGGCCGACGUAAGGCUCGGGGUGGACAGAGGAGAUGGGUGGUGGUCACGCGGCGCCUGAUGGAGGUGGCAGGCGAGAAGCACAUCGGCUAGGGACGGCGACCAUGCGUGCGGAGGAGCACGUCGGUGACCAUGGUGUGGGGAGAGGAGAAGCUCGAGUAGGAGCACAGCGCUGGGGGCCACCACGCCGGAAGACACAUAGGAGAGCUCGAGUAGUAGGAGGAGAGAGGAAUUGUGUUGG
rnacentral:rRNA from 1 species